CUGGCUUUCUUAUGCAUAUGUGCUAUCUUAUCCAAAAAAUCACAUGGAAAAUUAUGCUGACAUCUAAGAAUUGUCACGGUCUAGAUGUUUAUAGUUAGAGUAGAAUGAAUACUUGUAGGCUUGCCAUUUUUUCAAAUAUUUAAUUCUGGCAGAACACAUGAAUAAAAUAAAAUAAAGAAGUAGAUGGUAAUAUACCACUGCUUACUCUAAUCCAAUACGAGAUGAAUAAAAUACUCUUGC
rnacentral:lncRNA from 1 species